GAUCCGACUCAGGAUGAACGCUAGCUGCAGGCUUAACACAUGCAAGUCGAGGGGCAGCAUGGUCUUAGCUUGCUAAGGCCGAUGGCGACCGGCGCACGGGUGAGUAACACGUAUCCAACCUGCCGUCUACUCUUGGACAGCCUUCUGAAAGGAAGAUUAAUACAAGAUGGCAUCAUGAGUCCGCAUGUUCACAUGAUUAAAGGUAUUCCGGUAGACGAUGGGG
rnacentral:rRNA from 1 species